rnacentral:ncRNA from 1 species
ACACGCCGUAUGCGGUGAAAGUCGCACGUACGGUGUAGGCUCUAAACGAAAGUUAGAUACUAGCCAAAAUUUUUUGGUUAUAGCCU